UUCACCCAAGGCCUGCAGUGUACUUUGAUUUUUUUGGAGUGUACUUACAAACAGUCCUUGAUCACCACUAAAACCAACAGUGUUCUUCACCCUUCGGAGUGGACUUCAGAAUAGCCCUACAUUUUCACCCAAGCUUAUGGUGUUAUACGAUCCUUUGGACUAGACUUGGGAAUACUUAAUUAGGUCUACAUCUUCUGCAGCUGUCCUCUGACAGAGAUUUUCACAUUGAUUAUUGAAAAGUAGACUUUUAAAACAUUGAAGACAUCUAUACCAGGCUAGCAUCAUGUCUAAUAAAAAGCGAACAAAUAGUUCAAAGCCAGGAAUAAUGUUCUACUUUCACCACCAACCAAAGAAAGGAAAAACUGACAUUCCACUUCAAACACAGAACUUAGCACUGGACAAUGAAAUAGUAACUAUUGACUGUGAGGAAGUUGUUGCUGAGACAUCAGCUGAAUCACACGAUAAGUCUACAGAUGAAAAGCAAUAUCCAGCUGUGUGGUCAAAAGAACAAUUUGACGAAUUCAAAAAGAAACAUGAGUGGCUAUUUGCGUCUAGGGGAAAACUCGGCUGUACAAUCUGUGCAGAAGUUUCUAACUUAAAGAUUCACGCUGCUCGAGGCAUAAAUAUUGCUUC